UUGGCGUGAGUCGCGCAAAUCUUUUGAAGGAAUCGUUCCAAGAGCUCUUUCAAAGCAGAGUUAAGGAUGAAGGAUUUCCUGGGCAUCUUUUAGGCGUAGGAUCAUGUUUUGUGUAUGUCAAGUUGGGUGUCUUUGUCCUUCAAUGUGCAAGGAGGAUAGCUUUAUCGCUAUAGGAAAUGGUGUUGAUUUAAGUUUUGUGGUUGGCACGAGAACUCUAGCAGACGAAUGGUGUUGAGAUGCAGGAAGAAUAAUGAGUAGAGCUCUGUAAGUGUUGUUAGAUAAUCCAAUGGAAUUUUUAGGAUAUUUAUGGUUUUUGUAGGGUUCUGUUUUUGUAAAAGUAUUUAUGAUACAUAAUCUUGGUAUAAGUUAAUCUUAUUCUUUGUGAUUACUGAGUAA